GACAGAGGAUGCAAGCGUUAUCCGGAAUGAUUGGGCGUAAAGCGUCUGUAGGUGGUCAAAUAAGUCAACUGUUAAAUCUUGAGGCUCAACCUCAAAAUCGCAGUCGAAACUAUUCGACUAGAGUAUAGUAGGGGUAAAGGGAAUUUCCAGUGGAGCGGUGAAAUGCGUAGAGAUUGGAAAGAACACCGAUGGCGAAGGCACUUUACUGGGCUAUUACUAACACUGAGAGACGAAAGCUAAGGGUAGCAAAUGGG
rnacentral:rRNA from 1 species